AGUGAACGCUGGCGGUAGGCCUAACACAUGCAAGUCGAACGGCAGCACAGCAAGAGCUUGCUCUUACGGGUGGCGAGUGGCGGACGGGUGAGGAAUACAUCGGAAUCUACUUUUUCGUGGGGGAUAACGUAGGGAAACUUACGCUAAUACCGCAUACGACCUACGGGUGAAAGCAGGGGAUCUUCGGACCUUGCGCGAUUGAAUGAGCCGAUGUCGGAUUAGCUAGUUGGCGGGGUAAAGGCCCACCAAGGCGACGAUACGUAGCUGGUCUGAGAGGAUGAUCAGCCACACUGGAACUGAGACACGGUCCAGACUCCUACGGGAGGCAGCAGUGGGGAAUAUUCGACAAUGGGCGCAAGCCUGAUCCAGCCAUACCGCGUGGGUGAAGAAGGCCUUCGGGUUGUAAAGCCCUUUUGUUGGGAAAGAAAAGCAGCAGGUUAAUACCCCGCUGUUCUGACGGUACCCAAAGAAUAAGCACCGGCUAACUUCGUG
rnacentral:rRNA from 1 species